GUCAAAUGGUUUAACACUUUAACUUUACUGGUUUAACAACGUUCACAUGUACACAGAAGGCGAUGGAGCCAUCACCUCCGGCCGGCAUCCUCAUCUCGGUGCCCACUUCGACGGUGAUGAUGAUGGUAACGGUGCCUACCUACCUACGUCAUUCAUCGGCUCUUAUUCUUAGGAUGCCUAUCGUCUUCCUCGCAGGAAGGUUCAAUCCUCUUUCAUCUGCUUCGUUUUCGCCCCUUCAUACGAACAGGAACGCCGCCUAUUAGGGUUCACUGCGAAACUCAACUCUCCUCUCAGAUACAUAUACAAAAGACAAGGUGCACAAGAGCUCGGAAGAAGCAAUUUACCUUAAUGGUCCAACGGGUUCAGAACAGAGGGCAUUUUUGGAAAUCACAAAUUACUACAACAAAAGUGUCAUUUGGGAUAUUGUAAACACACUCAAGGGGCGUGGCGUGGCGUGGCUUAAACUAUGAUCCGGAGGUUAAUUAUAACCAGAGUUUGCUGAUCGACUACACGGUAACGUGUAGUCAAUUUCGUUUCCCGCGAUCGUUCUCAUACCGUUGCACCAUUCGGAGUUCCGCCUUCACAAUGAACAGGUUGUUAAUUUGGACAUCCAAUCCCAAAUGUGUGGGCUUGGUAAAAUUU
rnacentral:lncRNA from 1 species